AAAUAAGUUAAAGUGUCUAGUAGAAGUAUUUACUCAAGUGUCUAGUAGAAAUAUUAGUAGGAGUUAUUAUGGUAUAUAAUUGUGGGUGGUUUUAUUCUUUUAAUGUCUUAUUUGUUAUAUGAAUUGUAGAGUAUGAUCUGAAUAACUAUGAAAUGGUUAUGUAAUCAGCGAAUUGAGUUUGGAUUAGUGGUAGUAUGUGCUGUGUGCUGAUUGUGUGUGGCGUUUAGGAUUAGGGCUUGAACCUUGAGCAAAAGUGUGUUUUAAUUUUUGGAUUUGCCUUCGUUUUGCUCUUUUUUACCCAUCUGCUUUUGGGCCGAAACCCACGAGGAAGAGAACUCAUUCACUUCUUCCUUCGAGAGUCAACUCUUGUCCUUCUCCUUCCCUUUUCUUUGAUUCUUCGAGACUUGGAAACCCUAGGGCUUAAGGGCAUGGUGUGGCCAGGGAGAUUGAGGGCCAUUAAGGUGCGAGAAAGAAAUAGAAAUGUGAGUGACUGAGAGAAAAAGGGAGAUUCCUUCGAUUUUUUCUUAGGGGGAGCAUACGGAGGAGAGUUUUGCUAAGUGGAUCAGUGAAGCAUAGGAGAAGCGAAGUGGAAUCAGGUGAAUGAGUGAGCACAGAGGUUGAACAGUAGGCGUUCAAAGGAGUUCGGGGUUAAGGGUUUCAAUUGCAAGAAGAUUUCAGACAAGAUGCAGAUAUUUCAAGUGCUGAUUAGAUGCUGAUUAGAUGCUUCGGAGAGGGGAAUUGUUAUCUGGGAUUCCAUAUGAAAUAUAUUUUUUAGGAAAAUAAUUUUAAGAAUUUAUGUAUUGGUUUACCAUUGAAUUUUAGUAUUUGGUUUUGUAAAUAUUAACAUUUGGAUUUGUUAAAUAUAUUCAAUUUAUGCUUUUCAGGAUUUUGACAGUGUUGC
rnacentral:sRNA from 1 species